rnacentral:pre_miRNA from 1 species
UUAAAUGUUCGAUGCUUCUUUGCAUUCAGUAGUCCAUUUUUUAUUCAAUUCUAUGGAAUGUAAAGAAGUAUGGGGCUACGAG